UGCAGUCGAACGAUGAAGAGGUGCUUGCAUCUUGGAUUAGUGGCGAACGGGUGAGUAACACGUGAGUAACCUGCCCUUGACUCUGGGAUAAGCGUUGGAAACGACGUCUAAUACCGGAUACGACGAUCCGCCGCAUGGUGUGGUUGUGGAAAGAUUUUUUGGUCAGGGAUGGACUCGCGGCCUAUCAGGUUGUUGGUGGGGUAAUGGCUCACCAAGCCUACGACGGGUAGCCGGCCUGAGAGGGUGACCGGCCACACUGGGACUGAGACACGGCCCAGACUCCUACGGGAGGCAGCAGUGGGGAAUAUUGCACAAUGGGCGAAAGCCUGAUGCAGCAACGCCGCGUGAGGGAUGACGGCCUUCGGGUUGUAAACCUCUUUUAGUACAGAAGAAGCCUUCGGGUGACGGUAUGUGCAGAAAAAGCACCGGCUAACUACGUGCCAGCAGCCGCGGUAAUACGUAGGGUGCAAGCGUUGUCCGGAAUUAUUGGGCGUAAAGAGCUCGUAGGCGGUUUGUCGCGUCUGCUGUGAAAUCCUGAGGCUCAACCUCGGGCUUGCAGUGGGUACGGGCAGACUAGAGUGCGGUAGGGGAGAUUGGAAUUCCUGGUGUAGCGGUGGAAUGCGCAGAUAUCAGGAGGAACACCGAUGGCGAAGGCAGAUCUCUGGGCCGUAACUGACGCUGAGGAGCGAAAGCAUGGGGAGCGAACAGGAUUAGAUACCCUGGUAGUCCAUGCCGUAAACGUUGGGAACUAGAUGUAGGGGCCAUUCCACGGUUUCUGUGUCGCAGCUAACGCAUUAAGUUCCCCGCCUGGGGAGUACGGCCGCAAGGCUAAAACUCAAAGGAAUUGACGGGGGCCCGCACAAGCGGCGGAGCAUGCGGAUUAAUUCGAUGCAACGCGAAAGAACCUUACCAAGG
rnacentral:rRNA from 1 species